rnacentral:rRNA from 1 species
UACAGAGGGGGCAAGCGUUGUUCGGAAUUACUGGGCGUAAAGGGCGCGUAGGCGGCUUGGUCAGUCCCGUGUGAAAUCCCUCGGCUCAACUGAGGAACUGCACGGGAAACUGCCUGGCUUGAGUUCGGGAGAGGGAAGCGGAAUUCCGGGUGUAGCGGUGAAAUGCGUAGAUAUCCGGAGGAACACCGGUGGCGAAGGCGGCUUCCUGGACCGACACUGACGCUGAGGCGCGAAAGCGAGGGGAGCAAACGGG